CAAAAGCUUAGUCCUGGCUUUUCUGUCAGCUUUAGCUAUUUUUACACAUGCAAGUCUCCGCAUCCCGGUGAGUAACUGGCCCCAACUCAAUAAUUUUGACUUAGGGAGCCGGCAUCAGGCACAGCACCUCUAGCCCACGACGCCUAGCCCAGCCACACCCCCAAGGGUACUCAGCAGUGAUAAACAUUUAGCCAUAAGCGCAAGCUUGACUCAGUUAAAGCUAACCAGGGCCGGUAAAACUCGUGCCAGCAACCGCGGUUACACGAGAGGCCCAAGUUGACAGAUACACUCGGCAUUAAGUGUGGUUAGGAAGAAAGACAACCAAAGGUUAAACGACCCCCUCGCUGUUAUACGCAUACGAGAGUCUGAAGCCCCAUUACGAGAGUGACUUUAAUUUACCUGAACCCACGAAAGCUAANGAACAANCUGGGAUUAGAUACCCCACUAUGCUUAGCCGUAAACUUAGAGCGCCCCCACUUCACCGCUCCGCCCGGGUAUUACGAACUUAAGUUUAANACCCAAAGGACUUGACGGUGCUUUAUAUCCACCUAGAGGAGCCUGUUCUAUAACCGAUACCCCCCGUUAAACCUCACCUUCUCUUGCUCCUUGCCGCCUAUAUACCGCCGUCGCCAGCUUACCCUGCAAAGGCUUAACAGUAAGCAAAACUGGCAAAGCCCAGAACGUCAGGUCGAGGUGUAGUGAAUGAGAGGGGAAGAUAUGGGCUACAUUUGCUAUUAAAGCACACACGGAACUCGUAUUGAAACAUACGU
rnacentral:rRNA from 1 species